rnacentral:rRNA from 1 species
AUUGAACGCUGGCGGCAUGCCUUACACAUGCAAGUCGAACGGUAACGCGGGGCAACCUGGCGACGAGUGGCGAACGGGUGAGUAAUGUUUCGGAACGUGCCCAGUAGUGGGGGAUAGCCCGGCGAAAGCCGGAUUAAUACCGCAUGAGACCUGAGGGUGAAAGCGGGGGAUCGCAAGACCUCGCGCUAUUGGAGCGGCCGAGAUCAGAUUAGGUAGUUGGUGGGGUAAAAGCCUACCAAGCCGACGAUCUGUAGCUGGUCUGAGAGGACGACCAGCCAAACUGGGACUGAGACACGGCACAGACUCCUACGGGAGGCAGCAGUGGGGAAUUUUGGACAAUGGGCGCAAGCCUGAUCCAGCCAUGCCGCGUGCGGGAAGAAGGCCUUCGGGUUGUAAACCGCUUUUGUCAGGGAAGAAAUCUUCUGGGUUAAUACCUCGGGAGGAUGACGGUACCUGAAGAAUAAGCACCGGCUAACUACGUGCCAGCAGCCGCCGUAAGAC